CAUGGGGCUUAUUCAGAGCAGGAAUGCAAGCCUCGUCCUCCUCCCAGGGGUUUAAAACCUAAAAAACCUCCGUGGCAGGAAGAGGGAAAUAAAACCCCACACGCUUUUAGUCCGUGUCACUGCAGGGGCAUCUGAGCAACCCGUAACGUGUGCGCUGACACGGUUUCACGUGAGGGACGUUUUAGGAGUAGUUCACAGACUCUAAGGAGGCUGUGCGACAUGGUUUGAAAAGUGAUAUCAUCCAUAAAAAGUAUUUCUCUAAUUGAUUUAUAAAAACACCUAUUUGAAGGAAAUCUACAACACUGGUAUGUAGAUUGCAACAAUGUUUAACUGCACUUGUAAAAAUGUAUUUACCUUGUAUCCCACUUUAUUCUUUUACUGCAUUCCUUGCUGCCAUCUCAAAAUGGAAAAUGACAAUAUUUUUAUAUUGUUCAGGUAUGUUUUUAUACAUCUGUGUGUAAAUAUAUAUAUGUAUUUAUUUAUACAAGUGUUUGUAUGUGUAGAUAUGUAUAUCAUCUUCACACAGACUACACAAUUUUGUUCAUUUUCCUCCCAGACUGCAUUCAUUAAAUGAUUAAUUCUUACUGA